AGAGUUUGAUCCUGGCUCAGGAUGAACGCUGGCGGCGUGCCUAAUACAUGCAAGUCGAGCGAACGGACGAGAAGCUUGCUUCUCUGAUGUUAGCGGCGGACGGGUGAGUAACACGUGGAUAACCUACCUAUAAGACUGGGAUAACUUCGGGAAACCGGAGCUAAUACCGGAUAAUAUUUUGAACCGCAUGGUUCAAAAGUAAAAGACGGUCUUGCUGUCACUUAUAGAUGGAUCCGCGCUGCAUUAGCUAGUUGGUAAGGUAACGGCUUACCAAGGCAACGAUGCAUAGCCGACCUGAGAGGGUGAUCGGCCACACUGGAACUGAGACACGGUCCAGACUCCUACGGGAGGCAGCAGUAGGGAAUCUUCCGCAAUGGGCGAAAGCCUGACGGAGCAACGCCGCGUGAGUGAUGAAGGUCUUCGGAUCGUAAAACUCUGUUAUUAGGGAAGAACAUAUGUGUAAGUAACUGUGCACAUCUUGACGGUACCUAAUCAGAAAGCCACGGCUAACUACGUGCCAGCAGCCGCGGUAAUACGUAGGUGGCAAGCGUUAUCCGGAAUUAUUGGGCGUAAAGCGCGCGUAGGCGGUUUUUUAAGUCUGAUGUGAAAGCCCACGGCUCAACCGUGGAGGGUCAUUGGAAACUGGAAAACUUGAGUGCAGAAGAGGAAAGUGGAAUUCCAUGUGUAGCGGUGAAAUGCGCAGAGAUAUGGAGGAACACCAGUGGCGAAGGCGACUUUCUGGUCUGUAACUGACGCUGAUGUGCGAAAGCGUGGGGAUCAAACAGGAUUAGAUACCCUGGUAGUCCACGCCGUAAACGAUGAGUGCUAAGUGUUAGGGGGUUUCCGCCCCUUAGUGCUGCAGCUAACGCAUUAAGCACUCCGCCUGGGGAGUACGACCGCAAGGUUGAAACUCAAAGGAAUUGACGGGGACCCGCACAAGCGGUGGAGCAUGUGGUUUAAUUCGAAGCAACGCGAAGAACCUUACCAAAUCUUGACAUCCUUUGACAACUCUAGAGAUAGAGCCUUCCCCUUCGGGGGACAAAGUGACAGGUGGUGCAUGGUUGUCGUCAGCUCGUGUCGUGAGAUGUUGGGUUAAGUCCCGCAACGAGCGCAACCCUUAAGCUUAGUUGCCAUCAUUAAGUUGGGCACUCUAAGUUGACUGCCGGUGACAAACCGGAGGAAGGUGGGGAUGACGUCAAAUCAUCAUGCCCCUUAUGAUUUGGGCUACACACGUGCUACAAUGGACAAUACAAAGGGCAGCGAAACCGCGAGGUCAAGCAAAUCCCAUAAAGUUGUUCUCAGUUCGGAUUGUAGUCUGCAACUCGACUACAUGAAGCUGGAAUCGCUAGUAAUCGUAGAUCAGCAUGCUACGGUGAAUACGUUCCCGGGUCUUGUACACACCGCCCGUCACACCACGAGAGUUUGUAACACCCGAAGCCGGUGGAGUAACCUUUUAGGAGCUAGCCGUCGAAGUUGGGACAAAUGAUUGGGGUGAAGUCGUAACAAGGUAGCCGUAUCGGAAGGUGCGGCUGGAUCACCU
rnacentral:rRNA from 1 species